UACAGAGGGGGCAAGCGUUAUUCGGAAUUAUUGGGCGUAAAGGGCGCGUAGGCGGCCUUGCAAGUGGCGGGUGAAAUCCCUCGGCUUAACCGAGGAACUGCCUGCCAGACUGCUUGGCUUGAGACCGGGAGAGGUGAGUGGAAUUCCCAGUGUAGUGGUGAAAUGCGUAGAUAUUGGGAGGAACACCAGUGGCGAAGGCGGCUCACUGGACCGGAACUGACGCUGAUGCACGAAAGCUAGGGUAGCGAACGGG
rnacentral:rRNA from 1 species